UUAGGACUUUCCCCCUCCGUACCUAUGAUUAUUGGGUAGCCUUAAAGAAUGGGGUUUUAUAUGAAUAGAGGCAGAACAUGAACCCAAGUUUGUGAUUCCAAUUUAGAAGGCUAUAAAGAGCUUCUACCUUAGUGAAAGUUCAGACUUCAGCAGGCUGAGGGACCCAGUCUGACCUUUAGCUAUUGUUGAAGGUUAUAGUCAGGACCAUGUCACAGAAGAGUAGGCAAAUAACAUCCCUAGAGAAAGACUACCAAACAGUGUUUUUCCAGGCAUUAAGAGCUUCAAGACAUUAGUUUAGGGCAUUAGAACUGAUGUGAAAACCACUGUGGGUGGAGAGAUUCCCAUGAUGCAGCUUCCAGAAGGACCAAAAGCAGAAGUGAUGUAAUGAAGAACACUUGAGUUCUGAGGCUGCAACUAACUACACUCCUGCCCUUCAAUUCUGCAAACUAAGUGAUAAACCACAUUGUUACAAGAAACUACAAAGAUAAUGUGUUUUUAUAUCUUCUCCAAAGGACAAGUGAAACUUGCACCAGCCCUAUUUUACCACACCGACAGAGGUCACUUGGCACUGGAAAAAAGUUUCUGUGUGGAAGAGCUGUUUUUCUACUUCCUUCUAGUAUUAUUAACAUCUUAUAGAGAGGUUUCUUAUGCCACCAGAGAGAAGCUAGAACUAACAGAAAUGAUGAUCCGGAACUAAUUGGAUUUUAAAUCAAGAUCAAAAUGCAGCAUGCAUUAUCCAGAAAUGGAACAGUCUAAUUUAGUAAUUACGGGAUUCGCUGCAGUUGACUCCAUCACAGCUCUCACUGUUUCAGGCAUCAGGUCCACCCCCACUUCCCCUGGGAUGCUCAGCCUUCUCAUUUUUUGCUGUUAGGAAACUUCCAUCAAUGCUUUGUUUCAAUUUCUCAUUCUCUCUUAUCUCCUUUGUAUGAUUCCCUUUGCUGAGUACAGCUUCCAAUCAAUAGAAUAAAAUGGUAUCCGUAAA